rnacentral:rRNA from 1 species
CGUGUAGGCGGCUUGGCAAGUCAGAUGUGAAAUCCCUCGGCUUAACCGAGGAAGUGCAUUUGAAACUGCCAGGAUAGAGUACGGGAGAGGGUUGUGGAAUUCCCGGUGUAGAGGUGAAAUUCGUAGAUAUCGGGAGGAACAUCGGUGGCGAAGGCGGCAACCUGGACCGAUACUGACGCUGAGACGCGAAAGCGUGGGGAGCAAACA